rnacentral:rRNA from 1 species
UGCAAGUCGAGCGGUAGCACAAGGGAGCUUGCUCCCUGGGUGACGAGCGGCGGACGGGUGAGUAAUGUCUGGGAAACUGCCUGAUGGAGGGGGAUAACUACUGGAAACGGUAGCUAAUACCGCAUAACGUCGCAAGACCAAAGAGGGGGACCUUCGGGCCUCUUGCCAUCAGAUGUGCCCAGAUGGGAUUAGCUAGUAGGUGGGGUAAUGGCUCACCUAGGCGACGAUCCCUAGCUGGUCUGAGAGGAUGACCAUCCACACUGGAACUGAGACACGGUCCAGACUCCUACGGGAGGCAGCAGUGGGGAAUAUUGCACAAUGGGCGCAAGCCUGAUGCAGCCAUGCCGCGUGUGUGAAGAAGGCCUUCGGGUUGUAAAGCACUUUCAGCGAGGAGGAAGGUGGUGAGCUUAAUACGUUCAUCAAUUGACGUUACCCGCAGAAGAAGCACCGGCUAACUCCGUGCCAGCAGCCGCGGUAAUACGGAGGGUGCAAGCGUUAAUCGGAAUUACUGGGCGUAAAGCGCACGCAGGCGGUUUGUUAAGUCAGAUGUGAAAUCCCCGGGCUCAACCUGCGAACUGCAUUUGAAACUGGCAAGCUAGAGUCUCGUAGAGGGGGGUAGAAUUCCAGGUGUAGCGGUGAAAUGCGUAGAGAUCUGGAGGAAUACCGGUGGCGAAAGCGGCCCCCUGGACCAAGACUGACGCUCAGGUGCGAAGGCGUGGGGGAGCAAACGAGGAUUAGAUACUCCUGGUAGUCCACGCUGUAAAACGAUGUCUAUUUGGAGGUUGUGCCCUUGAGGCGUGGCUUACAGUAGCUAAGCACGUUAAAUCG